rnacentral:lncRNA from 10 species
GAGGCUGGACCGAGCUGGCUCCCGAGGAGGUCCGCUUAGGCGCGGGAGGGUGCGAGGGAGGAGCGGGUGCAGACGCGUAGGGAGGAUGCUGUCACCAGCCCUGCCUCGCAUUUGCGUUCUCGAUCCAGUUCCAUCUCGCACUUCCCAAAGCGUCGCAGCGAGUGGGGACCGCAGGGACCAGGCGCCGCGAAGCGGGAGCGUGAGGCGCUCUCUCCGAAGCCCUGGGCGACGCUGGACUAGUGUGCCCCGGAAGGACAGGUCACACCCGGGGGUGGGGGUGAAGACGACGGUGGCGGUGGGGAGGACACCUUUAGCAGCUGGGACCUGAUUUCUUCCUCCACAAGGCUGCAGCUGGCUAUGGCCCUGGUGGAAAGAAAAAGCGAGCUUGACCAACUCGACUUGGGAAGGGGGAUAGAGAGAGAAAAGAAGGACCUUGUGUUUGUAUUCAUACCGGUGAGCACCAAAGAAUAGUCUCACGCAGUUAUAGGACCCAGGUUCAGCGAUGUGACUACUUGUCCAAGGUCACACAGCGAGCUGGGGACUCGGGGACCAGUGUCGGAUCUCCCACCCGGUUGGGACUUCUGAGCGCACAGGGGCAAGAUAUGUGAGUAAACCCUGUCCAGAAUCCCAGUCCUUUGUAUCACUCGGUAGUGGUAGAGAGUCUGCUGUAGGGUAUAUUACUUUUGCUUGAUGCAAACCUGGUGGCGGGGUGCCGAGGUUGGUCAGGGAGGGAACAGGAGAAAGGAAAAAGGCAGGGUUGGAGGUGUGUGGAGGCGGCAAGUGAAGAAGAGGCUGUGAGGCUGGCGCGUCGAGAGUGUGCAGGAAACAUUUUUUGAGGCAUAACUGAGAGAGAUCAGCCAUUUAGUAGCCGUAUUCCCUUGGGCAAGGUCUUCAACCUCCUGAGCAUUACGUCUUUUUCUUUGAAUUGCAAUGAUUUGUGCGGACCACUGGGGGUGAUAUCAAGUGUCAGGGACCACCGGAGGCACUCAAUAAAUAGAAGACGCGUUGCUGUUGAGAAGUAGAAGCUGUGCCGGUGGGAACAGGUCAAAGGCCACCCCUACACUAGCAAGGUGACCCUCUGGACGCGGUCUGUGCGUCUCCUGCUCAGAGCCAGAAAUCAGCACCCGAAGGCAUGAGACUGCCAGUUGCCAGCGAAUUCACAAAUCCGACCGGCCCCUCCCGGCCCACCGACCUCGGGACCGCCCCAGGAACAUAUUCAGCACUGUGGCCAGCGCCACAUCCAUCCUACCGCAAAGCGCCGCUGGAGGAAUGGCUUCCCUGUCACUCCCACCGUUUUUAACUUGCGCUUCUAACGCCUCAGUCCUACCCCACGGAGGAGCAGGGCAGACUCCCACGAAGCACAGGCCGGCGUUAGUCACUGCCUUGACCAUACACAUCGGCGCUCACCCGAUGAGAUACCACGUACUGUGUAUGAGAGAGUAUCCCCCUCAGUUGAAUGCGUUUGUACUUGCCUUUCACAGACAGUUUGUACCACCUCUACUACCUAAAUUGUUAAUACUUAAAAGUCCACAAAGACCUAAGACUGAAUGUGUGCACAAAUGCGUGAAAGACUCCAUGCAGUAAAUUACUACAUGAGAGAAGUUUGAUACAGGAAAUUUAACAUAGUGGUUUGGUUGCCGCUGGUGUGUUAGACAUUGGACCAAACUGAGUUUUGUUUCGUUUUGCUUUGUUUUGUUUUGUUUUGCUGGUUUUGUUUUGUUUUGUUUUGAGACGGAGUCUCCCUCUGUCGCCCAGGCUGGAGUGCAGUGGCGCGAUCUCUGCUCACUGCAACCUCCGCCUCCCAGUAUUGGAUCUCCCACCCGUUUGGACUUCUGAGCGCAUAAGUCCAGGUUCAAGCAACUCUUCUGCCUCAGUCUCUCUAGUAGCUGGGACUACAGGCGUGUGCCACCACGCCUGGAUAAUUUUUUUUUGUAUUUUUAGAAGAGACAGGGUUUCACCAUACUGGCCAGUCUUGUCUCGAACUCCUGACCUCGUGAUCUGCCCGCCUCGGUCUCCCAAAGUGCUGGGAUUACAGCCGUGAGCCACUGUGCCCGGCCCCAAAUUGAGUUUUUAAAACAUUAAUUUCAGACUACUAUUUUUUAAGUAUUACAACUAAGUCAAACUACCAAUUACAAACAAGUUUUUAUUUAAUCAAUAACUUUGUUACUCCCUGACCUAUAUUAUCAGUAGGUUGAUGUAUGUGGAAAGAAAGGGAGAGAAAGUGGACUGGGAUAAAUCAGAAUACUAUGGGAAGUUAUUGCCUAAGACUGAGAAUCAGGAAAAUAUUGUUGGAUAUAUUUCUAGUCUACUCAGUGCUAAAGCUAUGGCUGAUAGUUGAAAAAACUGAAAACAAAAACCACCAAAACUAUUGUGAUAAAAAAAAUUUUCAUGUUAGCUAAAAUAGCCAGCCAUUUAAUGGCACUCAACCAGUUUCUAAAAUAUAGACAAAUCUAUAUUGCAUGACCAAGAAGAAACAGAGGGUGCUAUUGUAGUUGCUCUAUUUAUUCACAACAUGUGAAAUAUUAUGUAAUACCGUAUAUAAAACUAUCUCUAGUAAGUGGUAGGUACUAGGAUAACAAAAUAAAUAAAACCCAGACAGAUCCUAUAUUUAUAAACUUAUAGUCUAGAGAGAAAAAUACAGUUAAAUAAGUAAUGCUAGUACAGUAUUGAUAGGUGCAUUUAAAGAGGCAUGUACAAUGAGCCCUGUUGGAAUUCAGAGAAUGAAUGAACCACGUGGAGGCUUUAGGGAAGGCCUCUCAGAGGAAGCAGCAUCUGAGCUGGAUCUUGGAAAAGUUCAGUUCCAUCAGAAAAAGGAAAACUUGCUCAACCAUUCAGACAACGGACACAAAAGCAUUUUGGAGUGACAUUCAGUAUGCCUUGUUCUAUGAAUGGUGUAAAGAGUAUUAUUAUUGACUUGUGGAUUUUUAUAUAGUAAGUGCAUACCAAUCAGUUACGGCGAUUGUUUUCUUUUAGACACUCAAAUUGUCCCAUCUUUGGCCAAUGAGAUCCACUUCAAGUUGGUUCCAGGGUCCUUUUGACAUAACUCACUUAGAUUUUUAGAGCUUACAUGCUGUGUUUUGUGGCACAAUGAGAUGCCUCAAGCUCACCUUGUAAAUUCUCCACACUAUACCUAGGAGCAACCAUUAUUUCAAGAAUCCCUGGUAUCCGCAGUGGGAAACAGCAUUUAGAGACCAACAUUUGGGCAGUGGGGUUGGUUAUUAUCCCUGGAGCAUUAUGGUCUAGGUUCUGCAGACAAAGGUAGGAUAUAUACAUAUGUAUACACAUUAUAUGUAUAUUCUAUACAUAUAAAUAAAGUUACAUAGUUUCCAUUAUGAAGAUGUACCUUAGUUUCAUUUAACCAGUUUAUUGAUAAAUAUUUGUGAGUUUUUAAUAAUCUUUUAUUGCUAUAAUAUAUAUAUUGCUAUAUAUUCUAUACAUAUAUAUGGUGUGUAUAUAUAUAGGCUAUGUACUAUAUACAUAUAUAUACACAUAUAUAGAUGAGUGUGUGUAUAAUCAUUAUCAUCUCACAAUAUCUAGAUAUCUAUAAAUCAUGAGAUGAUAAUUAUGAUACUGUAGAUAAAUCAGACAGACCCUGAGCAGAUGAACAAAACUAACAUCACCACUAUGAUACCCUGGGAAGGACACAAUGUCACUUAUAUGCAUUCCAGCUAGAAACGAAGAACCUCAAUCUAAUCACAAGGAAACAUCAGACAAACUCAAAAUGAGGAAUCAUUUAUUUAAAAAAUUAUUCCAAAAAUUUCAAUGUUACAUAAGACAAAGGAAGACUGAGAAAAUGUUCCAGAACAAAUGACACCAAAGAGACAUAACAACUAAAUGUAAUUUCUAAUUUUAAUUUCUGAUCAAUGUUCGGUUUAUUGAAGUUGACAGCUACAUGGAAGAGGAUGUUCUUAUUCUUAGAGAUGCACACUCAACUGUGAUUUAUGCAGCUUACUCUCAAUUGUUUCAAAAAAAUCAUGUGUGUGUGUGUGUGUGUGUGUGUGUGUGUGUGUGUAGAUAGAGCAAAUGAGGAAGCAAAUGGGGCAAAAUGUUAAUAACAGGUAAAUCUUACGAAACGGUAAAAUGAUUUUCUUUGCACUAUAAUUGCACAUUUUCUAUAAGUUUAAAAUUACUUUCAAAUUAAAGUUCAAAACUCAUACAUUUGUAUAGAUAUUUCUGAUUCAAUUUCCAAUUAUUAACUUCUUUGAGUUGAUAUUUAUACUGAACAUCUUGUUUCUAACAACAUAAACAUAAUUAUCUUAUACAUAAAAUGAUUUCAGACUAAUAACGUCAGCAUUACCACUAAUAAUAAAAUUGACAAAUGAAGUUUGAGAUGUUUUUGCAGUUCUCUUUUGUCCUUACAGUAUAUCCCACUAAGUUUGUACAAUUGCUGUAUUUUCAAAUUACUUGAAACAAUGUUUUUCUAUGUGUGGUUAUUUACC